AACGAACGCUGGCGGCAGGCCUAACACAUGCAAGUCGAGCGCCCGCAAGGGAGCGGCGGACGGGUGAGUAACGCGUGGGAACGUGCCCUUUGCUACGGAAUAGCCUCGGGAAACUGAGAGUAAUACCGUAUGUGCCCUUCGGGGGAAAGAUUUAUCGGCAAAGGAUCGGCCCGCGUUGGAUUAGGUAGUUGGUGGGGUAAUGGCCUACCAAGCCGACGAUCCAUAGCUGGUUUGAGAGGAUGAUCAGCCACACUGGGACUGAGACACGGCCCAGACUCCUACGGGAGGCAGCAGUGGGGGAUCUUAGACAAUGGGCGCAAGCCUGAUCUAGCCAUGCCGCGUGAUCGAUGAAGGCCUUAGGGUUGUAAAGAUCUUUCAGUGGGGAAGAUAAUGACUGUACCCACAGAAGAAGCCCCGGCUAACUCCGUGCCAGCCGCCGCGGUAA
rnacentral:rRNA from 1 species